GUUUUAGAUGGUGAAAGCUAGUCACGCGGAAUGGAGAAAGAAAAGAUAAACAGAAAUUUACACAUCUGCUGGCAUUUUUAGACGAAAUCCUGACGUAUCCAGAGAACGUAAAUGUGAUUCUCUGGACUAAGUUACUGCGAUAUGAGGAGUAAUUAAGAACUAAGAAUGUAGCUCCCGCAGGCAAAAUGGCAAAAGACUAACAGAAAGUUGCAACGCCAUAAAAUGUAAAUUGAGUCCACUGGUCCAAUUACGUCGUAACAGUGUGAGAGAAACAACAAUUCAUCAUCUCUCAGUAGAAAGAACAAUCAUGAUGGUUGAUUAUGUAUAACUUUGAUUUGUUAAUAUUGAGUAUUAAAUAAUAACCGUGAACUUUUUCCAACAUUGUAGAGCAGUGUAUUGUAAUUCAAACAUUCGCACGAUAGUUAUAAAGAAUAAGGCCAUUUUCC